UAGGAGGACUUGGGGAUAUCCAGGAAGCUGAAAAAGAAUGCAAAAUUUACUGGAGCUACUUAAGAAAAUACCAACUUUUAAGAUCUCCAGUUGUGUACCAGUCUUUGGGAAUGGUUGUUGUCAACAUAUUUACAAGGCCAUUCUGUGGCUUCAUGAAAUGACAACCUAGGGAAAUCCUAUGGACAUACAUAUUGGAAUCAGUGUAGAGAAGUACUCCCUUGUACUGCAGAAGGUAAUGUGAAUGUGAAAGAAACAGAA